rnacentral:rRNA from 1 species
AUUGAACGCUGGCGGCAGGCCUAACACAUGCCAGUCGAGCGGAUGAAGGGAGCUUGCUCCUGGCUUCAGCGGCGGACGGGUGAGUAAUGCCUAGGAAUCUGCCUGGUAGUGGGGGCUAACGUCCGGAAACGGGCGCUAAUACCGCAUCCGUCCUGAGGGAGAACGUGGGGGAUCUUCGGACCUCACGCUAUCAGAUGAGCCUAGGUCGGAUUAGCUAGUUGGUGGGGUAAAGGCCUACCAAGGCGACGAUCCGUAACUGGUCUGAGAGGAUGAUCAGUCACACUGGAACUGAGACACGGUCCAGACUCCUACGGGAGGCAGCAGUGGGGAAUAUUGGACAAUGGGCGAAAGCCUGAUGCAGCCAUGCCGCGUGUGUGAAGAAGGUCUUCGGAUUGUAAAGCACUUUAAGUUGGGAGGAAGGGCAGUAAGUGAAUACCUGGCUGUUUUGACGGUACCAACAGAAUAAGCACCGGCUAACUUCGUG